ensembl:lncRNA
CAGGGAGUGGGGCAUGAGGACUGCUCUAACACCUGCCAGUAAGUACUCUCAGGGCACCCCUCCUGGCCCCCUUGAAUGAGGGGCUGCCAGAAGCAAUGUCUAAAAUUUGCUUGGAAUUCAUUUCUUCCCUUUCCUUUUUUUAUGAUGCUAAAGCAGGGGAUAAAAAGAUAAACGAUUGCAAAGCCUGGCACGUGAAUGCUUCCCCACCGCGUGCCGCUUUUGUGGGGAGCAAGUAGCAGCCGCCAACCGCUGUUUUAUUAAUAAUGAGGUAUUCACAUAAAUUCCAUGCAAAAUUGAUUUUUGACUGUUAUAUAAGAAUCAAAUACCAGGCUUUAAAAAGUAAUUGAGAAAUCUAUUUGUAAUUUACUUUGCCUAUAAGAACCCGCUGUCCUGCCAUAAACAAUUUUACAGUAUUUUCCCCCCUGUUAAACAGCUAUUUUUACACAUCUGUUUGGCCUCUCUUGGAUGACAUGCAGUCAGGAGGUGUAAUGAAUACAGGUUUGAAACAACAUGUGGCCACAAUUUCUUUCAAUUUCAUCUUCAAGGGGAUCUCUUGCAAAUUGUGAUAUCAUUUUCAUCACAGUACAGGGAUUGUGAAGCCCUAGUAUUUAAAAGAACUAUUUGCCUCAGUUUUAUUGAGAUACCCAGUUGUUUUAGCUGGAUAUCCCAUUUGCUGAUUUUUUCAUUUAAUUACCUUGGCAUCUUUGUCAGAACACCAGUUGACCAUGUCCCUAGUAGCAACUUACCCACUCAAAGCUCAGCAUGAAGACCAUCACAUCACUCAGCAGUGUUCCAGGGGGAAGUCUGGGACUGGAUGAGUAGUGCUAAGUUUAAGUGACCCUGCACAAUCUGUUUGGAAACCCUCAUUCCUUAAAAACUUUCCAUAAGUGCUACACAGGCAUGUCAGUGAAUAGUCAUCCUGGGACCACUGUAAGCAACUACAAGCCGUCGAUACUUGGCCUCAGCUGCUCAUUCUUCACUGUCCUAAUGCCAUCGGAGGUGGAGUGGUGCCGUGAGACGGUGUGAUGACCACAGACUGGGAGACAAGAGCCUCAGGGUCCAUCACUUGACAAUAUGAACUUGGCCACUUUCCAGAUCUCAGUUUCUCCCUUGAUAAAAUGCCUGACUUAUUCAAGGGCCUGUCGUGGGGACCUGUAUGAGAAAUUGCGUGGAGAAUUGCUUUGUCAACUGUAGAGGGCUAUAUAAACCUCUGAGGCUGUUGUCAUGCGAUGCUACUGUCAGCUUGCUCUAUUUCCUCCUGCCACCAGAGCCACAGGAAGUUUCGUCCUAUCUAAAUUCCUCGACUUGAAUGAAACAGAGCGGUGGUAGGUGAAGGUGGACUGGAGUGGAGUGGCGGUGGAGACCGUGGUGGCUACACACGCAGACAGGGAACCGGAGUCAUAGGCGCCUGGAACUGCAUAGGAGCACACAGGUCAUCUCUUUCAGGAGAAAUAUUUUCUCCAUUUAUGUAUAGAGAAAAUAAGCACAGGCUCAAGAGCCCCGGGCUUGGUGGGGGACAGGGGGGAUUAGGCUUCCCAUUGGCAUCUUACCUGAGUAUCAGAGAUGUGUGUAUUUUAUAGUUUAUGACUGAAGGAAUCUAGACUGAAAGAUUUGCAAGUGAGUUGAAGGACAAACAAUUCUGGAAACAAUUGAAAUAUUCUUGGUAUCUGGUAAAUAAACAGAAAACAAACAAGAAAUGAUUCCAACAAAAGGUGAAAAACUCUUAUUUCUAAUCUUUUAACAAAUAAAGUAAAAAAGUUUUGGAUGAGCUAGAUGAGCUGAAUUUUACUGAUUUGUUUUUGGUUACUGGUCAUUUUAUUCAGUCAUUUUUCUGGUUUACUGAAUUUUACUGAUUUACUUGCUAUUUGUUUUAGUUGGUUAAAUUGCCAAAUGGCUGUGUCCAGAAAUCUAAUAUAUAAGUGAUAAAUGAAUUUUUUAAAUGUGGUAUAGCCAUAUAAUGCAGUAUUAUUUAGCCAUAAAAAGGAAUGAAGAGCUGACACAUGCUACAACGUGAAUGACUCUUAAAAACAUUGUGCUAACUGAAGGAAGUCAGAUAUAGAAGGCCACGUAUUCUAUGCUUCUGUAUAUAGGAAAUGUUCAGAAUAGGCAAAUAGUAACAUAGGAACAGAAAAGAGAUUAGUGAUUUCCAGGGCCUUGUGGGAGAA